GUUUCGUUUAUGAAGUGACGAACACAAUACAGACGUGUUCCUUCGCUUAAACGUGGAGACUCACCGUCAUUUUUUAGGCAGACGACAUGGACAGCCACAGUGAGGACGAAGAAUUUGAAGAUGCUUGCGAUUACAUUGAAGAAAAUCAACAAACAUAUACUUCAGGAGCACAAGCUGUUGAGACAUAUCAAAAGGAAAAUAUUCCCAAUU